rnacentral:lncRNA from 1 species
GAGGAGGGAGGAUGCGGAGACGGGAGAGGGAGGGAGGAGGCUAGGGUUUUUCUGCUGUCGAGCUGUUAAACCUGAAAACUUUAGCCGACGAAAUAAUUAUUUCGUCGGCUAAAGCUAAGAAUCUCGUCGGCUAAGAAUCAAUUCGUCGGCUAAACCUUCUAAAUUCGUCGGCUAAAGUAUUUUAUACAUUUGGCACAUUGUGAUUGUGAUGAUCAAACUUGAGAAAAAGAAAUCCGACCAUCAGAUUUGACCACCAUGACAAAAUACAUGUAUGACCAAAAAUUCAACUUGAUCCGACAAGAAUAAGGGCUCGAUCCGGACGGUCAAUCUCCUAAGUCAAACCCCUAAACGCACGGAAAAGGUCGUUCGACCGUCUAAAUUACGUAUUUUGGCCGGACCUUCAACUAAAAAUAGUUUGAAAUCGAUGACAUGCAACAAGUCGUAUAAAAAUUUUACGCAAAAUAACCACCGAAUAUAGGGCUACUGAUAGGGGAAAGAAUGAAAAAUUGCAUUGACCGCAACUAUCGGCACCGAAUAUUUACCGGAAUAGUGUGAUUUUUCAACCGUGGAUGUAUUUCAACAUUCUCGUCAUAUCUUAUUUCAUGACUUUUUUGCGUUUGAAGGUUUUACGUAUAGUUUGUUUUUGAAACGGAACAUUUACAUAACACUUGGUAAACAAGUUAUAUAACAUUAAUAUGUAUGUUGUGAUUGUGAUGAUCAAACUUGAGAAACAGAAAUCCGACCAUCAGAUCUGACCAUCAUGACAAAAUACAUGUAUGGGAAAAAAUUCAACUUGAUCCGAAAAUAAUAAGGGCUCGAUCCGGACGGUCAAUCUCGUAAGUCAAACCCCUAAACGCACGGAAAAGGUUGUUCGACCGUCUAAAUUACGUAUUUUUGACCGGACCUCCAACUGAAAAUAGUUUCAAACCGAUGAGACGCAAGAAGUCGUCUAAAAAUUUUACGGAAAAUAACCCCCGAAGAUAGGGCUAUAGUAGGUAAUAGAAAUUUUUAGGGUUUAGCCGACGAAUACCCUAACGUAUUCGUCGGCUAUAGUAUGUAAUUAAAAAAU